rnacentral:rRNA from 1 species
UUUGUCCUACGGGAGGCAGCAGUGAGGAAUAUUGGUCAAUGGGCGGAAGCCUGAACCAGCCACGUCGCGUGAGGGAAUAAGGCCCUACGGGUCGUAAACCUCUUUUGCCGGGGAGCAAGGGCCGGGACGAGUCCCGGUCCAGAGAGUACCCGGAGAAAAAGCAUCGGCUAACUCCGUGCCAGCAGCCGCGGUAAUACGGAGGAUGCGAGCGUUAUCCGGAUUUAUUGGGUUUAAAGGGUGCGUAGGCGGGCUUUUAAGUCAGCGGUAAAAAUUCGGGGCUCAACCCCGUCCGGCCGUUGAAACUG